GAUGAACGCUAGCGGCAGGCCUAACACAUGCAAGUCGAGGGAGAAGCCCUUUCGGGGGCAGAAACCGGCGCACGGGUGCGUAACGCGUAUGCAACCUACCUUUCACAGGGGGAUAGCCCGAAGAAAUUUGGAUUAAUACCCCAUAAUAUUAUUGGAUGGCAUCAUUUGAUAAUUAAAACUGCGGUGGUGAAAGAUGGGCAUGCGUCCUAUUAGCUAGUUGGAGUGGUAACGGCACCCCAAGGCUACGAUAGGUAGGGGUCCUGAGAGGGAGAUCCCCCACACUGGUACUGAGACAGGGACCAGACUCCUACGGGAGGCAGCAGUGAGGAAUAUUAGUCAAUGGUCGGAAGACUGAACCAGCCAUGCCGCGUGCAGGAAGAAUGCCUUAUGGGUUGUAAACUGCUUUUAUAUGGGAAGAAUAAGGCGUACGUGUACGUUGAUGACGGUACCAUAUGAAUAAGCAUCGGCUAACUCCGUG
rnacentral:rRNA from 1 species